AGCGGGACGGAGCCUUCCCGGGUGGGAAAAGGAGCGGCGUCGUGCUGUGCGUGGCGAGUGACACGAAAUGAGCUGUUGGUGAACUCACGGGUGGGGGGAGAAGUAAAGAGAUCCUGUACAGCGCAGCGGCGGUUCAACCAUUUUGUGACCUAUCAAAAACACCACACAAACCCAAUAGAAGUCAACGUGGCACCACUGAUAACCACAUUUUGCAAAGACGGUAAGAAGAGCAGAAAGAUCAGAAACUUUGACCAAGGAUGCCACAAUGAAGCCAGAAGAAUUCUGGAAAAACACCCCAAGGAAAAUCUAGGGAGACCUACACCAAAUGCCAGCGGAAAAGGACUGAGCUGCGAGCAAUGAAACUAUGCCCUUUUGUUUGACUCCCGCUGUCUUCAAGGAAACAGAAGCUGGUGUACAAACAGAUGAAGGAAUCAAAGAGUUUCCUAUUAAUAGCUCCUCCUCCUAACUGAAACAGUGUGUGAGAUUGCACAAGCAUUCAAAAAGGGACCUAAUACGUAUGACAGGUUGGUUUGUGAUAUGCCUUUCCUUCCUUAGUUAGCUAUUACCCGAAAUACCCUGCUUACUGUAAUUUGCCUUUCACCUGAGCAUCAAAUCCCAGGGUGUCAUGCAGGGCAGUUUAAUUCCUUUUGUGGCAAACAAGUCACCACUGUAUUCCUGAAGUGUUAAUCAGACCUAAAAAGGACUCCAAAGUGACAUUUGUAUGGCAUUGUUCCUUCUAUUUUCCCUUUACAAUAGCACCCACUUUCCUUGCAGUGCCUAUUUGGUGUGAAAUCUAGGGUGCUGCAAUUAACUACUGAACACAAGUCUUUAUAUUAAGGCAGCAACAAAGGUGUAGGAGGGAAAACGAUGUAUCCUGCUUCAUUUAUUGCUAAAAAUAAUGAAAUUUCAUCAGGAACAUGCUGCUUGAGUUUGCCUGGAGAGCGUACUUAGAAAUGAAGGAAAAGCUGCCCUCUUGAGAGAGAUAUGAAAAGCUCAUUAAAGCUGUUACAAAAGGUAGUUAGGUAUUUUAGAGCUACAUUACCCUUCUCUUUACAUUGCAGGGUAAAGAAGUAUUAUCAGUGAAGAACACAGUAUUAUAGAGGGAUCCUGAAAAAAAUAUUUGAAUAUUUUUUCUUAUCUGCAUUAUUAAUAAUGUUUGAAUUAUUAAAAUGUAAUGAAUUUGAAAUAGCCAACUACUUCACUUCUAAUACCUUUUUCCUUUGUCAUUGCAAUCAGUGUGGGAAAUGGGAUUACAAUGGAAGUUGUUUCCUCUUUUAUUCCCAAUUUCCCAUUUUGGUUUUCAAGCACGGGGGCACUGGCUUCCAAUAAUUCCCUUCCUCCAAUUUUCUUUCUGUUUAGAGAUGUGGGCAUAUGGCACAAUUAUACACAGUUGUAACUUCCAAAGCUUUCUGCUCUUACUUGCUCUCUCAUGCCACAGGUUUUGAAUUUGGGGAACUCUAAACUUCCACAGUUGUAAUGAAAACAUGAAAUGGUAUGAUUCCAUGUGGUAGUUGCAGAAUCUCUCCAAAGUUUUUUUCCCCAAACAUCUUCAUUUUAAAUCCAUGUAAAACCGUAGCAUUGGGCACAAAUUAUUGACAGCAAUUGGCCUUUCAAGUGUGUUGGAAUUUCACCCACGCUUUUUACCCAUGCUAUAUAUGAAAAUCAGCCCAAAGGAUGAGUAUGUUUGAGCUUGUGAAGACUGUUUUGUUUCUCUGUAUCAUCCUCUCAAAUGCUAGCAACUUUUCUGGCUUGCUAACAUUUGCAAAUUACGUGAAGGUACUUUGUAUUCCUACAUUCAAACCAAAACUGAAGAAUUGAGUAGAACUGGGUCAAGGACAGCCCUCUGUAAGAUUCUACUUGAGAUGCCCUUUUAAUCUGACAGAAAACUACUGAGAUAUAUUUUUGAGAGAAGUUUAUCAAACUGUUGUACACCCACGUUGUGGAGAUUGCAUCUAGUCUGUUCCCUUAGCUCAUGUGUAAAGCGUGGUCUUGUAGAACAAUCUCAAAACCCCUCUGAAGUCAAGACAUGUCAAAUUGAGAUAUAGCUAGCAUUUUCCUUCAGUUGGCUACUUAGACCCUCCAAAUACAGAAAAUCAAACGGAGUUGUCAUACAUUUGGUCUCAUUUAAUUUCUGACUUUGGUCUUCCAAGUACUUGCUAAUUCAACCAAUCUCAUUAUGAAACUGACCUGUGAUGAAAUUGAGUACACCUGCUCUUGAUCUUUUGUUACUAAACACCACUCCAAGACCAGGGCGCUGUCAAGCAACAGUAAUUUGCAAAACAACUCCCUCCAAAAGAGCCAAAGUUGUCCACUGAACUAUGUGCUCUGGGUCCAGGCAGCAAGCUCAGCUCCUCUGUUGUGCAGCAGGGUCCUCUGCUGCAGCUACGUACAGAAAUAAAAACCAAACAUCAGCAAUCCAUCUUGUCCCUGGAAAUCCUACAAACUAAGCACAAGAACCCAUAGAGAGGCACAGUGAAAGCAGAUGGAACAAACAACAUAAGUGUAGUGGCUAUCAAAAAUCAUUUGAGACGGUACAAGCUCUCAAGCUGCUGCCACGUGGUUUACAAGAUACCCUGGCAGAGGUCAAGCUGAUUUAAAAAGAUUGUGGUUGUCCUGUAUAUUUCAGUGAGCCCGUAUUAAAUAAAGAACCAAUCCUAGCAAUGCUUAUUAAUGUGAGAAAUUAACCAUGCAGACCAGCUAUCAUCUGCACAGCUAGACUAGUCCUAUAACACUCUAGCAAUACUUUUUGUCACUUUGUAUUAAUUUUGCCAUGCUUCAUCAAGAAAUGUUUAAAGGUAACUAAAGAAAUAAUAUCAUUUUUUAACUAGGCCAGUCUUCAAAGAGGCUCUUAUUCUACAGAUUUAACUAUCACACUUCUAUUUGAUGAAGGAAAAGUUGAGUGCAAUAGGCAAACAUUCUAAUCUGCUUAGCCAAGACAUACAGAUUCUCUGCUACACAUCUCCCACAGCCUUUAAUGUCCAAAUCAAGAACUAAACCACUUUGGAAAUGUUCUGAGCAGUUAACAUUAAAGGAAACGUUCAGAUGCUAGAUUGUCCUAAGGCUGCAACAAGCAGUGAAGUAGGCCACCUUAUUUAUUGCACCUUUAGGUCAAGGAUGUAUCUGAAUCCAAAAUAGGUUAGUGCAUAACAUUCAAAUCAGUAAUGAAACAACUAUGCUGUUAAUGUCCUGACAUAAUGAUAGUAUGUUGUAAGGAUACAACUAUACAUUUUGAGACCUGGAUGGAACUAGACGAUGGAUGGAACCAGACUCCAAUAGUCCAGAACACAAAGAUCUUCUACCCAGUUUGCCCCAAAGCUUUCAGAAAGCUGGCAGCAAUUCUGUCUCUCCUUGAGCCACUGGAGCUGAAAGACACCAAGCAUUUCUUGUGGUUGCUGUGGAGUGAGGGAGUUUGGGCUCCUUAGUCUUGGAGAUGGUAGAGCGGCUCUUCAGGGGUUGCUGGAAGUAUAUGACUGCUAGAUGCUUGUACUCAACUGGGACUCAGCUAAUAAGAUGUUAUAGGGGUGCUUUCUUUUGUUUUUGUUUUUUUUCCAUGUUAAAUUCAUCUGCACAUCUCCAUGGAAGGUGGCCAGGACUUAGAGAUGUAAUUUACUGGACUUUGAUUUUGUUUGUACUACUAUAAUACCAUUAUUCUGUAGUACAUUCUAUAAAACUGACCCAGUGAAAAAUAACUGAGACAUUUUGAUGAUCACUUCACCCAAUAUUGAAUAAAUUAUUGAGAGACAUUUCAGUAAUUUUUGUAAGACUGUUCCUUUCACGUUCCAUUUAGAAAAUAAUAAAGCAUGAGGACACGGCAUGGAAAAACUGCUUUUGAUAACUUGUAGUUAUAUGUAUUUAUACUUGUAUUUCUUCUCAUGCAAAAACAAUUCAGUUGCACAUGUACUAGCACACAUGAAUGCUUUGAUGUUAUUUUUUAUAUUUAUCAAUUGUAUGCGAACCACUUAGAAUUACCAAGGUGUUUAUGAUGAAAUACAGUCUAAAAGCAAAAAUCUAAAUCUAAGCAGGCCAUCCUCCUUCAAUAAUAAAUAAAGAAAUAAGUAUGUAUGUAUUUCCCCUGCCACAAAAUUGCUUUCAGAUUGGAAAUAAUGAGUAAUGUUUCUGUUUUAGACUUCUGGGGAAAGUCAUUCCAGUUCCAGAAUUCACGUGCUGGGAGAAGGAAUUCUUAGACUCUUUUAAACCAGUCAAAGGAUUCUACAUCUCCUUUAGAACUGCAUACAUUAUAUUUAAAUCUCUAGCGGGCCAGGAAAACGUCAGGGAGAGCAGCAUCUGCUCCAAUGCACAAUGCUAAUGAAGGGCCUAGAUGUGUAUUUCUGAAUAUAUCUUACAGAUCCCAAUGAGCUUCAUUUUAGAAAAGACUACUUCAGAGUUCAGCACAUACAAAAAAAAAAAAAAGUUAGUCUAAUUCUUUGUAGUGGUUUGUUUUUCAGAAGACUACAUAAGAAAUGAAAAACCCAGCCUGAGGGUCUGCAUUUAUGAUCUGGCUGUGAGCAGGGUCAAAGCACUCUGUACAAACACUGGAAAACCUGGUUCUAAUUAAAGCAGACUUCUCUCAUAAUGAGUCAAUGUCCAGGUGGGCAACAGGCUUCCCACAAAGAAUAAUAGGUUCUGUUAGUUCCCAAACAGUACAGACAACAGCCCUUGCUCACUUGCUCCUCAGCAGUUUCUUUGAUGGAUCAAUACAGAAACUGCAAGCCUGGACCAAAGUACGGCAGAAUCAAUACUGCAGGGAGAUCCCGUUUCAGCGGGGCAACUGGUAAUGUCCAGCCUGCAGCAUUACCUGGGCUGAGUGAAGAGCAACGACUGAUAAAAAACACUAUAUCAUUUAAAUGUACACUUUAUGGAUUAAAAAAAAAAAAAAAAGCCUUCAGGAAAUUUAAAACAAUGCCAUGCUAUCUGAUCCUACUUCAGUUUUCUGCUUUUAAAUACAGCUGAGUUUGUGUUUAAAGACACUGAAACUAAUAAUGAUUCUGCUGGGUAUCCGUCCCCGAAACAAAACUGGCUCAGAAUCUGUUAAUUCUGCUGCAAUGGGGCUUGCGACUUGACAAAAGCAGCCUACGUUUUAAAUCCUCCGCUUCACAGGAGGGGCCAGCGAUCCAGGCAGCGAAGCGUUCACUGAUCGACAUAACAACCGCCCCAUCUAGCGCACCGGCCUCGCAGCAGCCUCGUCUGAUCUGCAGCGUGCAGCUUCCCCCUGCAGCCCACCUUGCAGAUGGGGAGCUGAAACAUCUGGACAGAUGUGCACCGGCAGCAAGGGGUGCCACCAAAGGGGAGGGGCUGCAGGCGCAGGGCGUAUGCUUUGCACUGAAAAAUCUGGGCCUCCUCACAAAAGCCAAAAGGCCUCAAUUCUCCAGCUUUCUUUCGUUUCCCUGCUCCUACAGCAGGAAAGCUAGCUAUGUUGUUGGGCCUUGAGAAAAUGGAAAUAUCCUGAACAAAC